rnacentral:rRNA from 1 species
GAUGAACGCUGGCGGCGUGCCUAAUACAUGCAAGUCGAGCGAACGGACGAGAAGCUUGCUUCUCUGAUGUUAGCGGCGGACGGGUGAGUAACACGUGGAUAACCUACCUAUAAGACUGGGAUAACUUCGGGAAACCGUAGCUAAUACCGGAUAAGAUUUUGAACCGCAUGGUUCAAAGGGGAAAGACGGUCUUGCUGUCUCUUAUAGAUGGAUCCGCGCUGCAUUAGCUAGUUGGUAAGGUAACGGCUUACCAAGGCAACGAUGCAUAGCCGACCUGAGAGGGUGAUCGGCCACACUGGAACUGAGACACGGUCCAGACUCCUACGGGAGGCAGCAGUAGGGAAUCUUCCGCAAUGGGCGAAAGCCUGACGGAGCAACGCCGCGUGAGUGAUGAAGGUCUUCGGAUCGUAAAACUCUGUUAUUAGGGAAGAACAUAUGUGUAAGUAACUGUGAACAUCUUGACGGUACCUAAUCAGAAAGCCACGGCUAACUACGUG